GGUGGCUAAAUAAAUAAAAACACUGAACAUUAAUUGUUCAAUACCUGAUGAAAGGGUUUAGAACAUAGGCAUUUUGUGCAUAUCUGUCCAAGAUAUGAAUGUAAAUUAGUUUACCUUAAAAAAUCUUCCUGAUGACAUUAUUUAGGUUAGUAGGGUUACCUUUAGGCAGGUAACCCUAGUGUGUGGUGCAUAAUCAAAUAAUCAUGUUGAAGGUGAUCACCUUCACAGAAGGCUGAAAUCAUUUCUAAUUAUGGAGUUUAUGUUAUUUUUGUUAAUAACAUGCGAUUAAUCGCUAAAAGUGUUAAUUGUUAGAAAUAGUAAGAUUAUACUUCAAGCAAUUUUUCAAGACAACAAAAUUAUUUUCUCUUACUUUGGCUAAUCAUUUUAGCACAAUAUAAACUAUUUUGUAUUUGUUUUUAUAUUAAUUAGAUAAUUAAAUAUAGUUCUGAUGUUCAAUUUACUCAUAAGUAUAAUAUUAUUGAAUUUACAUGUAGGGAGAACAAUAUGAUCAUCUUCUACAUUUACUGCAAGAUAAACUACAGAAGCAAGAAACACGUUUUAGGAAAUCAAUUUCAGCGUCUGAGAGACUUGCCAUCUGUUUAAGAUUUCUAGCAUCUGGAACUAAUUAUACAGACCUGGCAUACACUUUCCGUGUUUCUAAAUCUUCAGUUUCACAUAUUAUUCGAGAGACCUGUGAUGUCAUAUGGCAAGUCUUACAGCCACUGGUUAUGGCUAUACCAGCAUCAUCAGAUGAAUGGGCUGUAAUAGCAGAAGGUUUUGAAUAUAAAUGGAAUUUUCCCAACUGUGUUGGUGCAAUCGAUGGUAAGCAUAUCAGAAUACAAGCUCCACCGUCAGCUGGAA